CCCUAUGGGGCGCAGCCAGGAAUGUGAAUGGCAAAGUGAUCAUGUAUGCCGAUGCGAUGACAGAUGCCAUGAAGACUGCCAUCGAUGAAACCAAUCGUCGGCGGAAAAAGCAACUUGACUAUAAUGUUGUCCAUGGAAUCGAACCCUUUACGGUAAUCAAAGCGGUGCACGACAUUACUGAGCGUCUCUCUUCACCAGUUGCAGUUGCUGAAGCGCGUGGCGAAUACCACGCUGGUGGAAAAACAGCCAAAAUACCUCUGAACGAUCUUAAGCGGAUGAUCACAGAACUGGAGAAACAAAUGCGGCAGGCUGCCAGCGAAUUGCACUUCGAAGAAGCAGCCGUGAUCCGGGAUCAGAUUAUCGAUUUGAAGACACUACUGGCUGAAGAAUCCAAUCUUCCGCCCUGGCAAAAAGCCCGUUUAUUGGCGGGGGAGC
rnacentral:rRNA from 1 species